CAGUCGCCGCGGUAAUACGUAGGGUGCGAGCGUUAAUCGGAAUUACUGGGCGUAAAGCGUGCGCAGGCGGUUAUGUAAGACAGUUGUGAAAUCCCCGGGCUCAACCUGGGAACUGCAUCUGUGACUGCAUAGCUAGAGUACGGUAGAGGGGGAUGGAAUUCCGCGUGUAGCAGUGAAAUGCGUAGAUAUGCGGAGGAACACCGAUGGCGAAGGCAAUCCCCUGGACCUGUACUGACGCUCAUGCACGAAAGCGUGGGGAGCAAACAGGAUUAGAUACCCGUGUAGUCCCUGUCUCUUAUAC
rnacentral:rRNA from 1 species